rnacentral:rRNA from 1 species
UACAGAGGGGGCAAGCGUUAUUCGGAAUUAUUGGGCGUAAAGAGCUCGUAGGCGGUUUGUCGCGUCUGCCGUGAAAGUCCGGGGCUCAACUUCGGAUCUGCGGUGGGUACGGGCAGACUAGAGUGAUGUAGGGGAGACUGGAAUUCCUGGUGUAGCGGUGAAAUGCGCAGAUAUCAGGAGGAACACCGAUGGCGAAAGCAGAUCUCUGGGCAUUAACUGACGCUGAGGAGCGAAAGCGUGGGGAGCGAACGGG